UUAGUCUGUUCCAGAAGGGUCAGGUCAUCGGCAUCAAGCAGAGAAAACAUCUCAGUAGAAGCAGAAACUACUAGAACUGGGUUCAGAACUGUCCAACCAUCAUUAAAAACUGGAUGGAUGGUGGGAACCAUCGUCCUCCAGGAAGAAACGUGGUCAGAAAAACAUCCUGAAUGAUGGUGAUCGGUGAGCUAUGCUCCAGACAUCC